AAUGCCAGUCAUAAUGCAUUAAGAGCCCACAGAAAUGCACAAUGAAAGAGUAGGGAAACUAUGCAAAUAAGCAGACUGCUGCUAAUGUGCAAACCAGGGUGAAAACAGCAACAAGGUCUCUGAACUGAAUGAGAGACUGUGAGGAGUGUGGCUGGCUAACGGAACGGGAGACAUUUACUGCGGCUUUUAGCUAACUCACCUUAUUUUAUGAAAACACCUGUAUGUGUUUUAAAGCAUGUUUUCAGUCCAGCAUUCUGAGUGUGUAAUUGGGUUUUGAGCAGACUAAGGAAAGUGCUGUUAGAACAUCUCUCCUUGCACCUGACACUGCCACUGAGCUGUCACAUACCUCAAGAUGUGGCCUGACUUCACAUAUAAGUUUUCCAAGGGAUGGAAACAUCAUGACGUAUAUUAUUGGUAGUACACAUUAAAGUAGCUGUAAGGGAGCUAUAUGACUGUUCUUCUGUACAAAUGUAUGCCUGCAGAGCUGUGCAAGAAAGCACAGAAGUUUGACAAUGAUCAGCCUCUCAGAAACUAAUUAUGCAUUUUGGAAAGUCAGGAAACUGCACCUUAAAAGUAAACAUGCAUAAAGGAGCAAAGGGAGCUCUGUGGAAAGGGCGUACCUAACAAUACU